rnacentral:rRNA from 1 species
CCUACGGGAGGCAGCAGUGGGGAAUUUUCCGCAAUGGGCGAAAGCCUGACGGAGCAAUACCGCGUGAGGGAGGAAGGCUCUUGGGUCGUAAACCUCUUUUCUCAGGGAAGAAGAAAAUGACGGUACCUGAGGAAUAAGCAUCGGCUAACUCCGUGCCAGCAGCCGCGGUAAUAC